rnacentral:rRNA from 1 species
AUGGGCCAGUACAUUGAACGGACAACUAGUCUUGAAUACAGAUGCAUCUUUUUAGAGGAUCACAUAGGUUCAUGCGGUGUUGUAAUAAGAGACCACUUGGGCUUUUUCAUUGCGGCAUCCACAGCAAAAUCAUACCAUGUGGCUGAUGUUGAAUCGGCUGAGGCAGAUGCGCUCUUGGAGGGACUAAAUCUAGCCCGCUCUAUUGGGGCACAUACCCUCGUUGCUCGGGCGGAUAACAUGACAGUGGUGGAGGCGAUGGCAAAUAAUUCUAGACAAUCAAUGGUGGUAGGACCCAUACUUGAUGAAUGUCAUUUUCUAUGUUUAGAAUUCGGGAAGGUCUUUUUUCAGCAUUGUAAUAGAGAAUCCAAUAUGUUUGCUCAUAGGCUAGCUCAACGAGGGCGGGAUGAUCCACCAAUUUUGUGGUUCGACGCCUCCCUAGUUUUAUUUUGGUUUUACUUGCGGAUGAUGUAA